GCCCCAAAGCCUCUGUAAAAUAGCUUUUCAGUUCACACCAUCUCUAUGCAGGGUUCACUCCAUGGAUGCUGCAGUUGCUGGAGAAGUGUGGAGGUUGGCUAGUGCACUGAGAGCAAUGCAAGGUCAGAAAUUGAAAGGUUGCAGUAUCUGGUUCUCUCCUUGUGUUCUCAGGGCAGGCAGAUCUUAGCUGUUUCUUUCCCACUAUUCCCAUGCUUUUAAGCAGCAUUAGGCAUUUUCUUCCAGCUCCUGUACAGUUCCUGGAUUUCUACCUGCUUCUACCUAAUCAUUCCAAAAAGUAUUAAAAGCUGUCAUGUGGGUUUUCUUAGCUCUGUACGUAAGAGACAUGGCUACAUCCCAUUGUUCUUUCCCACAGGUUCUGUAACGUAUUCAUGCUCUUCUACUUAUUCUUCUACUAAAUUGGUAAUUUUAUUUUGACUUUCCUUCUAACUCUGCUUAAAGAUCAGAGCACAGACAGAAUGGUGCAGCAAACAAACAGUGCACACAGCUCAUUUGCCAAACAUGUCCCCUAAAUUAUUGCAAAGGAUUCUGAUUCUUCAGCUUCUUGGAAAAUGUUCCAGUCUGUGCAUUAACAUUGCUUGGGGAGCACUCAGCUGGGAGAACAAUGACAAAACAUGCCUCAUUUUAGCCAGGCUAAAACUGGCUACGAUCCAUUGUGCAUUCUUAAUAUUCAGCAUUUGUUCCAAAUAGUCCUUAAAACUUCUUGCAUAUGUCAACUGUAGGGCUGCUGAUUGCUCCUCCGUAUGAGCUGAGGGCAUCAAAAGAAAGUAGGCAUCUGUCCACAGUGCUCUGACAUUGGAAAACCCUUUGUGCUUCUGGGUAACAGUAACUUGCUUUCCCAUAAGUUGAAUCCAAACCAAGCAAGUCUAGUGUAUAUCAUGUAGUUUUCACAUGGGAAAUGUGUUUUUUUAAUUUCUCUGAAGAAACUUCAUCUUUAUUCUUACUUACCAUGCAAGCCUAUUUUUGGUGAAAAACAUGGGCAGUUUAGGGUGUGGUUCCAUUUAGUUUAGGAAUAGCUGCGCCUGGCUUCAAGUGAUAAGACCUCUGGAUUUGCUGCAUGUUUUUCCCUGCAGAUGGUAUAUUUUCUUUAAGAAAUAAGUAUAAGGGAAUUCAAGGUUAAAACCUCCUAUCUCUGGACCAGGGACAGUUUGAACAGGGACUGGAGAUUAUUUAUGGAGAUUUUUCACUUCAUCUGGAACUACUGAUGAUUUAGCACAUCUGGGAAACUAAGCUGUAAGUUUCCGCAGCCCAUUUGUUUUUUGGCCACCUUCCUGAGCCUGCUGAUUAGUGUCACUUUUGCAAGGCAGACAGCAAUCCUGCACUAACUGGACUGUGACUUCCACUUAUAUCAGUUGCUGAACUGACCUCUGGAAGUACAUGCAUGUGAAUUGAAUUCAAAACAAUGAAUCUGGGAUCUCUGCAAGCCCUACUACGAGUCCCUAAGCAUUACACUUAAAUUUUGUUUACUUCUGCAAUUUGGGCAGUUUUCAUGGACUCAGUGAAGUUCAGCUGUUAAAAAUAUUCAAGGGAGUAAGAAGAGGAGAGCCGCGAGGAGGGCCUCCUUCCAGAGGAGGGCCACGAAGCUGAUCAGAGGGCUGGAGCACCUCUCCUAUGAGGACAGGCUGAGAGAGUUGGGAUUGUUCAGCCUGGAGAAGAGAAGGCUCCGGGGAGAUCUAAUUGCGGCUUACCAGUACCUGAAGGGGCCUACAGGAAAGAUGGUGUAGUACAACAUCCCAAAGUACCGUGCCGUCUUCCGGGCUGACUGCAUAUUGCCAAUUGCUAAACAUUAGCAUUCCAGCAAAAAGACCAAAACUUCUCUGAAUGCCAUUAGAACUGGGUCACUAACAGAAGGUGUGUGACAGCUUAACAUGCAUAACAACUAAAGCCAUUUGCUCAGUCUCAUACAGAGCAGAAAUAUUGAGAGUGAAGAUUAUGUCUAUAGCAUGAGCAGAAUGACAAAUAACAAGCCUCAGCGAUAUACUUUUUUGGUGGCAUUAGUGAUGCAGUUCUGCCUUGGAAACAGUGAAAACAGGUGAUCAGCUGGGUUUUGUGCUGCACUGUUUUUGCUAAAAGUUCAAAUUUAAUAGGAAUUCAAAUGAUCAAGGUAAGUAUUUCAUUUUGUAGAGGAAAUUCCAUUCUUUAGCAGCAUCCUAAUAACAUCUACUAUUUAGCAUUUUCUAUUCUAUUUGGAAUAAAGAGGUUUUAACCUCACAGCUUCAAGCUGUAUAUUUCUAUUCCAGCUCCAGGAAUUAUUGCUGUAGCUGUGUGCUCAGUAGUCAUACAAAUGCUGCAGGUGGACUUACGUCAUUUCAGAAAACAUUAUGGAAUAAGCUGGACUAGACGCUGUGUUCUCCCUUAUCAAAAUCCCUUUAAACCAGCUAAAGAAGAAUGGAAGGGAACUCUUCCUGGACAGCAUGGUUCCAGCUACAUUCUGAAUCAGAAGGGCAUGCUGAGAUGUUCUUUAUAUGGAGAAAAUGGAAGGUGGGAGCCAGGGAGAAGAAGCAUCUGGAAAUGCAAAGAGAAACAGAAUUAACAGAGUAUUAGCUGAGUAUCACUGAGCUACACAGGUUCUCUGUGCUCCCCUGCUUUUGCUCUGUGUUAGUCAGUCUGGAUAACAUAAGAAUCAGCCCCUUUAUAAGCUUUUAUUAAUUACUCUUCUAUCUUUUCUGGAUGUGACAGAAUAUUUCUGGAGACAAACACCACGCUCUGCCUCAUUCAUCUGUAUCCCUUUUCCCUGCCAAGCCUGUCAUGAUUUGUUCACUUUUAUCUAAAGUUGGAAAAAAAAACCAGUUCAGAAAACUAGCUCAUACAGAAAAGAAAAAUCAGGUCACUCGGAUUGGUCUGCAGAUUCAGGUCAUAUUCAGUGACGAGUUUAAACGGAAAAAAAUGGAAGAAUCAGUAAAAUUAGGAGUAUUUUUCCUAUUCCUUCAACACGAAACCUCACAGUUCUUUUGUUUCAAAAGUGUUGGAAAGACAUCUUGAGUGCAAAAUACUAAACUGGGAUUAAACAGAGAAAGAAAUAAUCUAGAAGCAAACCGAACACAGUAUUUUCACUGGCAAAAUAUCCUAUUAACCCCCAAACAGCUUUUUGAUUCAGAGUGAUCAAAAAGAUUUUUAAAUUGUUUUGAGUAAAAUACCAAACCAGAAGGCAACUAUUUGCAAUUCUAUCUAGAACUAACAACAGGAGAUUUGUUUUUAAUAUGUUUCAAAGGCAGGUAGUGUAACUCAAAUUCUCAUUGACUUUUCUUCCCGUAUUCAGAAAUUCUUUUUUGGCACAUGAAGUGAACAGGUGUGAGCCAGUGCAAUGUGGCCCACAGGCCAUAACCAGCAAAUAACUAAUUGGCAUCUAUGUUGCAACAGGGCAAAGAUCCAGACAAAUUAUGACGAGGCACCGUGCCAUCCUAAUAGACUCACAUUAUCACGGAUGCCAAGGUUCCAUAAAUUUGCAUUAUUUACAUUUAGUUAGGGCAGGAUUCCCAGCUGGGAAAUUCCACAUGGUUGUCCAUCUCUAUCAUAGACAAUUACAAUGGAAAAAGAUCUCUGUGACUAAUCCAGCAUCCUGAAACAGUUUUCAGCAAGAAUUUAAAUAUUCUUAAUAAUGAUUUAAAAAAGUUACCACUCAUCUACAUCAAUAAAUUGUU